GCUUUCAUAGUUAAAUGGUAUAACAGGUCACUCGUAAUGUCCAGUUGCCAGUUCAAUUCUGGCUGGAAGCU
rnacentral:tRNA from 1 species